rnacentral:rRNA from 1 species
CCUACGGGAGGCAGCAGUGAGGAAUAUUGGUCAAUGGGCGCAAGCCUGAACCAGCCAAGCCGCGUGAAGGAUGACUGCGCUACGGAUUGUAAACUUCUUUUGUCAAGGAAUAAAGUGAGGCACGUGUGCCUGUUUGUAUGUACUUGAUGAAUAAGGAUCGGCUAACUCCGUGCCAGCAGCCGCGGUAAUACGGAGGAUCCGAGCGUUAUCCGGAUUUAUUGGGUUUAAAGGGAGCGUAGAUGGGUUGUUAAGUCAGUUGUGAAAGUGUGGGGCUCAACCGUAAAAUUGCAUUUGAUACUGGCAGGCUUGAGUACAGGUGAGGUAGGCGGAAUGCGUGGUGUAGCGGUGAAAUGCUUAGAUAUCACGAAGAACUCCGAUUGCGAAGGCAGCGUACUAAACUGCCACUGACAUGGAGGCUCGAAAGUGUGGGUAUCAAACAGGAUUAGAUACCCCAGUAGUC